rnacentral:rRNA from 1 species
UACGUAGGGUCCAAGCGUUGUCCGGAAUUAUUGGGCGUAAAGAGCUCGUAGGCGGUCUGUUGCGUCGGUUGUGAAAACCUGGGGCUCAACUCCAGGCCUGCAAUCGAUACGGGCAGACUAGAGUUCGGUAGGGGAGACUGGAAUUCCUGGUGUAGCGGUGAAAUGCGCAGAUAUCAGGAGGAACACCGGUGGCGAAGGCGGGUCUCUGGGCAGUAACUGACGCUGAGGAGCGAAAGCGUGGGGAGCGAACAGG